rnacentral:rRNA from 1 species
CGCUGGCGGCGUGCYUAAUACAUGCAAGUCGAGCGGACCGAYGGGAGCUUGCUCCCUUAGGUCAGCGGCGGACGGGUGAGUAACACGUGGGUAACCUGCCUGUAAGACUGGGAUAACUCCGGGAAACCGGGGCUAAUACCGGAUGCUUGAUUGAACCGCAUGGUUCAAUCAUAAAAGGUGGCUUUYAGCUACCACUURCAGAUGGACCCGCGGCGCAUUAGCUAGUUGGUGAGGUAACGGCUCACCAAGGCGACGAUGCGUAGCCGACCUGAGAGGGUGAUCGGCCACACUGGGACUGAGACACGGCCCAGACUCCUACGGGAGGCAGCAGUAGGGAAUCUUCCGCAAUGGACGAAAGUCUGACGGAGCAACGCCGCGUGAGUGAUGAAGGUUUUCGGAUCGUAAAACUCUGUUGUUAGGGAAGAACAAGUACCGUUCGAAUAGGGCGG